rnacentral:rRNA from 1 species
AAUCAAGUGCCUUAAGGGUGUUCGGUGGAUGCCUUGGCGCUGAGAGGCGAUGAAGGACGUGCUACGCUGCGAUAAGCCGUGGGGAGCUGCGAAGAAGCUUUGAUCCGCGGAUUUCCGAAUGGGGAAACCCACCUUCGAUAGCCGGAACUCCAAGACCUUGGUCUUGGGGUUUGAAUAGGAGACUAGGAUGAUCCUGAGCCGUGAGGUUUUGGAUUUCCGGUUAUCAAGAGAAGGUAUGAGACUUCUGAAUACAUAGGAGGUUUCAAGCAAACCCAGGGAACUGAAACAUCUAAGUACCUGGAGGAAAGGACAUCAACCGAGACUCCGCUAGUAGUGGCGAGCGAACGCGGACCAGGCCAGUCAUGAAUGUAAGCCAACCAGAACCUGUCAGGAAAGCAGGGCCUCAGAGGGUGAUAGCCCCGUAUGGGUAAUGCGAACAUUCAUGCUCGAGUACGGCGG